GACGAACGCUGGCGGCGUGCCUAAUACAUGCAAGUCGAGCGGACGGAUGGGAGCUUGCUCCCAGACCGUCAGCGGCGGACGGGUGAGUAACACGUGGGCAACCUGCCCGUAAGACUGGGAUAACUCCGGGAAACCGGGGCUAAUACCGGAUAACUCUUUCCCUCACAUGAGGGAAAGCUGAAAGAUGGCAUCUCGCUAUCACUUACAGAUGGGCCCGCGGCGCAUUAGCUAGUUGGUGAGGUAACGGCUCACCAAGGCGACGAUGCGGAGCCGACCUGAGAGGGUGACCGGCCACACUGGGACUGAGACACGGCCCAGACUCCUACGGGAGGCAGCAGUAGGGAAUCUUCCGCAAUGGACGAAAGUCUGACGGAGCAACGCCGCGUGAGUGAUGAAGGUUUUCGGAUCGUAAAACUCUGUUGUCAGGGAAGAACAAGUACCGGAGUAACUGCCGGUACCUUGACGGUACCUGACCAGAAAGCCACGGCUAACUACGUG
rnacentral:rRNA from 1 species